UACGAAGGGGCUAGCGUUGCUCGGAAUCACUGGGCGUAAAGCGCACGUAGGCGGAUUGCUAAGUCAGGGUGAAAUCCUGGAGCUCAACUCCAGAACUGCCUUUGAUACUGGCGGUGCUCGAGGCCGGGAGAGGUGAGUGGGAACUGCGAGUGUAGAGGUGAAAUUCGUGAGAUAUUCGCAAGAACACCAGUGGCGAAGGCGGCUCACUGGCCCGGUACUGGAACGCUGAGGUGCGAAAGCGUGGGAGCGAACGAGG
rnacentral:rRNA from 1 species